AUGUCGGGAGGUGAGUGACUAAGGUGGUGGUCACCGUCACUGUUGUUGUGGUUUGUUUGUUUGUUUGUUUGUUGAUUUCUUUUAUUCCCAAGACGUGGCGGUGCCGCCUGGCUGUCUGCUGGUGCUGCCUGCCUGUGGUCUGACCAUUUUGUCGCGAGUGUUUGGGCGUUGUCCUUUCUGGGGAUUUCCCGGCCCAUACUGAGUGAGGUUAGGUUAGGUUAGGUUUUCUGGUCAAGAUUUUCCCGUCACAGUGGUGGCAGCCGCGCAGGACAAGACACACGGUAAUUCUUAAGAAAUACACCUCCACACAUAUCUUAUUAAUCUUUUCCCCUCUCCCCCAACAAGCUUGGGGGCACGUGGGGAAUUGGGUUUUUUUUGGAGGGGGACAUAAAAGACCGAUAAAUGGACUGAAAAUCUAGGGAAAUUUCUCUAAAAUAAAAGAAAAUUGGGGUAAAAUUUAAGUUUUAACCAAUACUCCAGAAUAAUUAUAUACCUAUCCUAACCUAACCUAACCUGGGGGGCUGUGCACCCCAUGAAUCCACCCCUGCUAUCGGGGGGGGCUGUGCCCCCCCUGGACCCCCCCCUAAGGUUAAAGCGUCAUUAAACGUCAUACUCUUAGUGUAGCCGCACUGGCUGGGCAUCAAUUGGCUCUUAGGUAAUCUGUUUUACUGAUCACACCCAUCAUCGUAGGGUCGAGGAAAGGCAGUUCUCUCUCUGACGUUUAUUGAUGAGGUAGGCAUGACCAUAAGAACUGCAAACAAGUUCUUGGUCUCAAUUUCUUACAAAAUAACAUUAUACACUGAUAUUAAACACUUUCAACAUAUUACAAUAUUCAUUAACAAUACAUGCAAUUGACUUGGCACUAUGACAAUCAGUUUUUACUACAAAAUUAAAGUAUUUACCUCGGUCACCAUCCUGCCCGUCUUUGUCUGAGCGCGACUUAGCCGUGAGUGAUGCCCGCAGGCGACUAGCAGGUUAACCCCACACUACUAACAAGUGAGCAUCGGCUUCGGUGCUUAAUAUAGCAUUAAAUACUGAUACUCACACAUAUUACACGUUUUCAUGCAAAUAGAAAACUAUUGAACAUUUCACUUAUAAAUGCCGAGGAAUAAUGACGUGUGGUACAUAUGCUUUACAUACAGUAACACUUAGUAGCAUGGACAAAAGCACCCUGCGUGUAAACCAACGCAUGAACGCACGCAGUGUAACUUCAGCACGGACAGGUAAGCAGGACGGAUCUCGGGAAUACUGGAGAAACUUUAACAUUGUAUUGUAACCUUAAUAUCAACGAGCCAUCAGUAAAACCUUUACAGACUUGUAGCUAUACUACUUACACUUCUUGAAAGCACACCUUAUUGAAAAUAAUCUUGGGUGCGUUGUUCUUAAGAUUUUCCAGACACACACCGUCAGUAAGGUUAGUUUGGUCUCCUGGACAAAAUUUUCCCGUCACAGUGGUGGCAGCCACGCAGGACAAGACACACACCAUCAGUUAGUGUUUUCUGCUUUCUUGUUUUAUUUUUUGUUAUUUUGUUAAUUUGUUUAAUAUUGUUUUAUUUGUUUGUCUUGCAGAACAGACGCGGUGAAAGAGCAAGGCCAGACUGGCAAGUCCUGUCCAUUGUGCCCCAGAGCGUCUCAGAUCAGUGGCUGGCAAGUCCUCCCAUCCUCUCUGCCCCAGAGCCCCUCAGGUGCAAGGUCGGUGUGCAUCCUUGGUGCAGCCCCAGGGUUCCUGCAGGACCAGCCACGGCCAGGAGCAGCGUUGCAAUGGAGGGUGCGAGGCCAGGCAGCAGCAGCAGCAGUAGUAAUAGCCUGGAGCAGCAGGUGACCCAAGGUGGGAGGACCUACACUUGUGACCACUGCGGCAAAGUGUGCUCCACCAAGGCUGCCAUUGCCAGACACGUCCUCUCCCAUGCCAGCAAGACAAGGCUGAGAGGCAGGAGUGGUUCCGCUGAACACACUACCACCCACACUGGUGGCAGGAACCACAAGUGUGACCUCUGCGGGAAGACAUUUGUCCGGAAGAGUCAUCUUGCCUCACACAUCCUCACCCACACUGGGGAGAGAAAGUUCCAGUGCCUGGAGUGUGGGAAAAGCUUUACCCAGAAGAGUUCCCUUAACACACACAUCCUCACCCACACUGGGGAGAGAAAGUUCCAGUGCCAGGAGUGUGGGAAAAGAUUUACCCAGAAGGGUUCCCUUGACACACACAUCCUCACCCACACUGGGGAGAGAAAGUUCCAGUGCCUGGAGUGUGGGAAAAGAUUUACCCAGAAGAGUUCCCUUAACACACACAUCCUCACCCACACUGGGGAGAGAAAGUUCCAGUGCCUGGAGUGUGGGACAAGAUUUACCCGGAAGGGUUCCCUUGACACACACAUCCUCACCCACACUGGGGAGAGAAAGUUCCAGUGCCUGGAGUGUGGGAAAAGAUUUACCCACAAAAGUUAUCUUAACAAACACAUCCUCACCCACACUGGGGAGAGAAAGUUCCAGUGCCUGGAGUGUGGGAAAAGAUUUACCCACAAAAGUAAUCUUAACAAACACAUCCUCACCCACACUGGGGAAAAAAAGUUCCAGUGCCUGGAGUGUGGGAAAAGAUUUACCCACAAAAGUGAUCUUAACAGACACAUCCUCACCCACACUGGGGAGAGAAAGUUCCAGUGCCUGGAGUGUGGGAAAAGAUUUCCCCGGAAGGGUUCCCUUGACACACACAUCCUCACCCACACUGGGGAGAGAAAGUUCCAGUGCCUGGAGUGUGGGAAAAGAUUUACCCACAAAAGUGAUCUUAACAGACACAUCCUCACCCACACUGGGGAGAGAAAGUUCCAGUGCCUGGAGUGUGGGACAAGAUUUACCCGGAAGGGUUCCCUUGACACACACAUCCUCACCCACACUGGGGAGAGAAAGUUCCAGUGCCUGGAGUGUGGGAAAAGAUUUACCCACAAAAGUUAUCUUAACAAACACAUCCUCACCCACACUGGGGAGAGAAAGUUCCAGUGCCUGGAGUGUGGGAAAAGAUUUACCCACAAAAGUAAUCUUAACAAACACAUCCUCACCCACACUGGGGAAAAAAAGUUCCAGUGCCUGGAGUGUGGGAAAAGAUUUACCCACAAAAGUGAUCUUAACAGACACAUCCUCACCCACACUGGGGAGAGAAAGUUCCAGUGCCUGGAGUGUGGGAAAAGAUUUCCCCGGAAGGGUUCCCUUGACACACACAUCCUCACCCACACUGGGGAGAGAAAGUUCCAGUGCCUGGAGUGUGGGAAAAGAUUUCCCCGGAAGGGUUCCCUUGACACACACAUCCUCACCCACACUGGGGAGAGAAAGUUCCAGUGUCUGGAGUGUGGGAAAAGAUUUACCUGGAAGGGUACUCUUGACAGACACAUCCUCACCCACACUGGAAAGAAGAAGAGAAAACAGCCAAAAUCAUAGCUGUUGCAGUCCCCGGUGACUCUGGCCUCAGUAGAGCUGAAAGGCACAAAACUACAAAAUAUCACGACCUAAAAAGUGACCUGGGAACAACAUGGUCGCCGAUGGACACCGGUAUAAUACCAGUGGUGGUGUGGGCAACAGGGCUAAUGAAGAAAACCUGGAGAGCUGCCUGGAGGCAAUCCCCGGUCGCCCAAGUGCCCACGAGGUACACACAGCUGCGGUCAAGGGAACGGUCGCCACGCUGAACAUAACCCUCGGAUGCAAUGCCGGCGCUGCUGAGGGUGUGACCGCUAACACCAGGCUUGGGGCCCAUUGCACUCACCAGACAACAAAACAGGAAGGUGCAGAAAACGGGGAGAGAAAGUUCCCGUGCCUGCAGUGUGGGAAAGAUUUACCCACGAAGGUAAUCUUAACACACACAUCCUCACCCACACUGGGGCUUGUACAAACUCAGCGCACCCUGAGUGUAGGAAGACAGAAGGAAGCAGAAACCGAAGGAUCUUCUCUGAACCACCCUGGAGAGAGAAACUGCAGCAGAGGAUCACCCAUCAAAGAGAAGAAAUCUGGCAGAUAACAAGCUUCCUGCAAGACCAAAACCACACAAGGAACCUCCUCAAGAAAACAGACAGAAUGACAGGAAGGCGCAGCGCAAGCAAUGGCCGGCCGGGCGGAAGACAGGCAGGGGCCGAGCCCCGGCCGAAGCCUUGGCACCUGAAAUGAGGACAAAGACAAGAAAAUAAAGGCCAGAAAGAUGAAGAGGCAGCUUGCAGAAAAGCCAGGGGUGGUGUGCAGACACAUGGCAAAGACCUCAACAGAAGUACAAGACCCACCCGAGAAAGAAGUGGCCGAGGGAUGCUGGAGGCCACUGCUGGAAGACCCCACGCAGCAUCAGGCAGCCCCAGGGAUACAGACCACCACGGUUAAACACACAAGUAAACAACAACAAUGCCAGCUGUUCAGCUUACAGAGGAAGGUCUGCUGAGAAAGAGAGUGAGUCAAUGCAGCAAGUUUGAGGCUCCAGGUGUAGACAAAGCCCCAAGUUUUGGGUCAGAAAGAUUACACGAGUGCACCGUUCCGUGCACUCGUUUGUACCAGACUACAGAAAGGAAAAGAGGAGCCCCCACAAUGGCUGGCCACUGGAAACACCAGCCUGCCACCAAACGCCAGCCAGACACAGAGCCGUCCGCUGCCUGUCAACAACACGCAGGUGGCCGACAGAGACACUGGCGUGGAGUUUGGUCUGGUGGAGUGCUCCACAUGCACCGGCAGGACUGGCAAGAAGGUAGCACCAGAAACACACACACUGGUGAACAGGACUGCAUUCAACACCUUGCCAUUCAACACCUUGCUCAACACUCCACAUGCAAGUGUUUGGGAACACAAGAGAAUGCCACACUACAACACAAAAAAUGAGAAAAACAAUCAACAAAGAAUUACCUUAACACCUUGAAAAAGAUUUGCAGGUCAGAACUACCACCAAAAAACAAGACUACUGCCAGAAACCAGCUGGCAGUACCAGUAGUGACUUGUGGGUGUGGUGUGGUGUGGUGACUGGCCACAAGACUACUGCCACAAACCAGCUGGCAGUACCAGUAGUGACUUGUGGGUGUGGUGUGGUGUGGUGACUGGCCACAAGACUACUGCCACAAACCAGCUGGCAGUACCAGUAGUGACUUGUGGGUGUGGUGUGGUGUGGUGACUGGCCACAAGACUACUACCACAAACCAGCUCACAAUACCACUAGUGACUUGUGGGUGUGGUGUGGUGUGGUGACUGGCCACAAGACUACUGCCACAAACCAGCUGGCAGUACCAGUAGUGACUUGUGGGUGUGGUGACUGGCCAAAAGGUUUAUUCUGAAAUGUAAUCUUGACAAACAUCCUCACCCACACUGUGGUAAGGAAGUACAGGUGUGGUGUUUGUGGCAGUGUUUCUGUAGGAAGAGUGGUGUUGCCAGACACAUCCAAACACUCCUGUGGGGGUGAGGUGUUGUGGAUGUGCUGGUGGUGUGUGAGGGAAUUGGAGUGACUAGUGUUUGUGUGUUGUUACUUUGUACUCAAGUGUUGGAAUAAACUUUUGUUGCUAGAAUGCUGAGUAAUGUUGUUCUACAGUAAAUAAUGUGUGUGUGUGUGUGUGUGUGUGUGUGUGUGUGUGUGUGUGUACAAAAUGGCCAAUAAUAAACUUACCAUGACAGACAGAGUAGUGGAUGACUGGAAUAGACUCAGUAGUCAGGUUGUUAGUGCUGAGUCAUUACAGAGCUUUGAAAUAUUAGACAAAUGUAUGGACAGGGAUGACAGGUGGAAAUAGACAGGCAUGUUUUGUACAGGGACUGCCACGUGCAGGCCUGACGGCUUCCUGCACCAACCCUUGUGUUCUUGUGUGCUGCUGCUGCUGCUGCUGCUGCUGCAAAAUCUCUUCCUAUUAAUCCCUUUCUUUGCUGUGAAUGCUUGUGGAGGUUUUACACAUUGCUUUUAGUGCUGCCAAGUGUUGACUGUCGCUGUGAAAGGGUUGAAAGGUUAAUGAUCCUGGGAGGCAAAGAAAACUGCUGGUCUGUGCAUCAAUAGCCGUGGUGUUCUGAUGGUCUGCCUUCUUCAUCAUUUCUCACCAAAACAAGAAAACAACAAAACUUGAUUGAAAAACAAGCCACAGAGACAGGCAGAGCGGGUGGGAGUGCAGGGGAGAGGGAGAGGGAGAGAGGACGGUGUGGGAGACAAGACAGAUAUGGAGAGAGAUGAUACUUAACAUUGCAUCUCUUGCUAUUCAAAGCUAGGUGAGUGUGUUGAAGCCUCCCUCCUGAAAGAGUUCAAGUCACCGGCAGGGGGAAACAGCAGCAGGCAGGGAGUUCAGGAGUGUGCCAGUAAAGGGGAUGAGAGACUGAGAAUACUGGUUAACUCUUGCAUCAGGGAGGUGGACAGAAUAGUGGUGAAAGAUUGAGAAUACUGAUUAACUCUCAUUCAGGAGGUGGAGUGUAUUGUGGUGAAAGAUUGAGAAUACUGGUUAAUUCUUGCACUAGGGAGCUGCAGACAAUAGUGGUGAAAGAUUGAGAAUACUGGUUAACUCUUGCAUCAGAGAGGUGGACAGAAUAGUGGUGAAAGAUUGAGAAUACUGAUUAACUCUUGCAUUCAGGAGGUGGACAGUAUAGUGGUGAAGGAUUGAGAAUACAGGUUAACUCUUGCAUUAGAUAGGUGGACAGAGUAGUAGUGAAAAAUUGAGAAUACUGGUUAACUUGCACUACGGAAGUGGAGACAAUAGUGCUGAAAGAUUGAGAAUGCUGGUUAACUUGCAUUCAGAAGGUGGACAGAAUAGUGGUGAAAGAUUGAGAAUGCUGGUUAAAUCGUGCAUUAGGGAGGUGGACAGAAUAGUGGUGAAAGAUUGAGAAUACUGGUUAACUCUUGCAUUAGAGAGGUGGAGGCAAUAGUGGUGAAAGAUUGAGAAUACUUGUUAACUCUUGCAUUAGGGAGGUGGACAGAAUAGUGGUGAAA